UAGGAAGUGAUGUAGAGGAAGCAUAAAGAGUUUUGAUCUCUUAAGGAGGGGUUCAAACCCCCUCUUCCUAA
rnacentral:tRNA from 1 species